rnacentral:rRNA from 1 species
UACGUAGGGUGCGAGCGUUAAUCGGAAUUACUGGGCGUAAAGCGUGCGCAGGCGGUUUGCUAAGACAGGUGUGAAAUCCCCGGGCUUAACCUGGGAACUGCGCUUGUGACUGGCAGGCUAGAGUACUGCAGAGGGGGGUGGAAUUCCUGGUGUAGCAGUGAAAUGCGUAGAUAUCAGGAGGAACACCGAUGGCGAAGGCAGCCCCCUGGGCCUGUACUGACGCUCAUGCACGAAAGCGUGGGGAGCAAACAGGAUUAGAUA